GGGGAAGUAGCUCAAUGGUAGAGCAAAAAAAUUGUCCGAAUGUCUAGGAUAUUAGUGUUUCAUGCGAAACAUGGUUCGAGGUUCGAUUCCUCGCUUCUCCA
rfam:Daucus carota subsp. sativus cultivar DH1 chromosome 6, whole genome shotgun sequence.